rnacentral:tRNA from 13 species
AUGGUGUUCAGCCCGGGCUUCAGACCCGCCGAA